rnacentral:rRNA from 1 species
UACGUAUGUUCCAAGCGUUAUCCGGAUUUAUUGGGCGUAAAGCGAGCGCAGACGGUUGUCUAAGUCUGAAGUGAAAGCCCUCGGCUCAACCGAGGAAUUGCUUUGGAAACUGGAUAACUUGAGUGCAGUAGAGGAAAGUGGAACUCCAUGUGUAGCGGUGAAAUGCGUAGAUAUAUGGAAGAACACCAGUGGCGAAGGCGGCUUUCUGGACUGUAACUGACGUUGAGGCUCGAAAGUGUGGGUAGCAAACAGG